rnacentral:lncRNA from 1 species
CAGCGUGCUCGUGCACGACCCUACUUUCCGCGCUCCAAAAGAUUACUUCAGGCACGAGCAUCACCCGUUCCAGGAGUGACAGCUAUUCUACAUUCUCUCACCAUUGGCGUCCUGCUGGUAGACUGGACUUGUCUCUUCACCCUGCACUACUUCGGGUUCUGCCCUCCCGUUUUCUAAUGCGGUCCACAAGGGCACCCAGUGCGCUCCUGUACGACUGUCUGCGCUUCAAUAUAUUACUUCGGGCACGAGCAUCCCCUGUGCCAGGAGCGACUGCUGUUCUGCAUUCUCUCGCCACUGGCGUCCUGCUGGUAGACUGGACUCGACCCCUCGCCCUCCAAUGCUUCUGGUUCUGCCCUCCCGUUUUCUAGUGCGGUGCACAAGGGCACCCAGUGCGCUCCUGUACGACUGUCUGCGCUUCAAUAUAUUACUUCGGGCACGAGCAUCCCCUGUGCUAGGAGCGACUGCUGUUCUGCAUUCUCUCGCCAGUGGCGUCCUGCUGGUAGACUGGACUCGUCCCUUCGCCCUCCAAUACUUCUGGUUCUGCCCUCCCGUUUUCUAAUGCGGUCAACAAGGGCACCCAGUGCGCUCCUGUACGACUGUCUGCGCUUCAAUAUAUUACUUCGGGCACGAGCAUCCCCUGUGCCAGGAGCGACUGCUGUUCUGCAUUCUCUCGCCAGUGGCGUCCUGAUGGUGGACUGGACUUAGCGUCGCGCCCUUGCAUUUGAUUCUGGUUCCCAGUGCAUGCUGUCGCUUGUGACGCAAGAGAAAUGUUCCAGCAAGCUCAUCUAUACGACUCCUGGCCUUACCUCAAGA